AUCAGAGCAGCUCAGUGGUUAAGAUGUUAAACUUCUGAUCAGAAGAUCAUGAGUUCAAAUCCCAACACUGUAA